rnacentral:rRNA from 1 species
AUUGCCCCAGUAACGGCGAGUGAAGCGGCAACAGCUCAAAUUUGAAAUCUGGCUCUCGGGCCCGAGUUGUAAUUUGUAGAGGAUGCUUUUGGUGAGGUGCCUUCCGAGUUCCCUGGAACGGGACGCCAUAGAGGGUGAGAGCCCCGUCUGGUUGGACACCGAUCCUCUGUAAAGCUCCUUCGACGAGUCGAGUAGUUUGGGAAUGCUGCUCUAAAUGGGAGGUAUAUGUCUUCUAAAGCUAAAUACCGGCCAGAGACCGAUAGCGCACAAGUAGAGUGAUCGAAAGAUGAAAAGAACUUUGAAAAGAGAGUUAAACAGUACGUGAAAUUGUUGAAAGGGAAGCGCUUGUGACCAGACUUGGGCUUGGUUGAUCAUCCGGGGUUCUCCCCGGUGCACUCUUCCGGCCCAGGCCAGCAUCAGUUCGCCCUGGGGGACAAAGGCUUCGGGAAUGUGGCUCUCUCCGGGGAGUGUUAUAGCCCGUUGCGUAAUACCCUGUGGCGGACUGAGGUUCGCGCAUUCGCAAGGAUGCUGGCGUAAUGGUCAUCAGUGACCCGUCUUGAAACACGGACCAAGGAGUCGUCUUCGUAUGCGAGUGUUCGGGUGUCAAACCCCUACGCGAAAUGAAAGUGAACGCAGGUGAGAGCUUCGGCGCAUCAUCGACCGAUCCUGAUGUUAUCGGAUGGAUUUGAGUAAGAGCAUACGGGGCCGGACCCGAAAGAAGGUGAACUAUGCCUGUGUAGGGUGAAGCCAGAGGAAACUCUGGUGGAGGCUCGCAGCGGUUCUGACGUGCAAAUCGAUCGUCAAACAUGGGCAUGGGGGCGAAAGACUAAUCGAACCUUCUAGUAGCUGGUUUCCGCCGAAGUUUCCCUCAGAUAGCAGUGUUGAACUCAGUUUUAUGAGGUAAAGCGAAUGAUUAGGGACUCGGGG